GCGUGAGUGAUGAAGGCCUUAGGGUUGUAAAGCUCUUUUGUCCGGGACGAUAAUGACGGUACCGGAAGAAUAAGCCCCGGCUAACUUCGUGCCAGCAGCCGCGGUAAUACGAAGGGGGCUAGCGUUGCUCGGAAUCACUGGGCGUAAAGGGCGCGUAGGCGGCCGAUUAAGUCGGGGGUGAAAGCCUGUGGCUCAACCACAGAAUUGCCUUCGAUACUGGUUGGCUUGAGACCGGAAGAGGACAGCGGAACUGCGAGUGUAGAGGUGAAAUUCGU
rnacentral:rRNA from 1 species